rnacentral:rRNA from 1 species
CAGUCGCCGCGGUAAUACGUAGGUCCCGAGCGUUGUCCGGAUUUAUUGGGCGUAAAGGGCUCGCAGGCGGUUUCUUAAGUCUGAUGUGAAAGCCCCCGGCUCAACCGGGGAGGGUCAUUGGAAACUGGGAAACCUGAGUGCAGAAGAGGAGAGUGGAAUUCCACGUGUAGCGGUGAAAUGCGUAGAGAUGUGGAGGAACACCAGUGGCGAAGGCGACUCUCUGGUCUGUAACUGACGCUGAGGAGCGAAAGCGUGGGGAGCGAACAGGAUUAGAUACCCCAGUAGUCCCUGUCUCUUAUAC